CCUGUGCGACAGAGUGAGACUCCAUCUCACAAAAAAAAAGACAUUAUUCUCAUGAAAACAGUCAUGACAGUCAUGAACAAGUAGUCCUAUUUGUACAAAAUGAAAUACAAAUGACUAAUAAAUAGGUAAAAAGAUAUUCAACUUCACCAAUAACAAAGGAAUGUAAGUUAGAAAAAAAGAAAUGUAAUUUUCACUCAUCAGAGUAACAAACUUUUAUCAUAUCAAAUAUUGAUGAUGUUGUAAAGAAAUGAAUACUCUUUUUUACAGCUUAGUAGUAUUCCAUGGUAUACGUAUAUUCUGUAUUUUCUUUAUCCACUCAUUGGUUGAUGGGCACUUAGGUUGAUUCCAUAUCUUUGCAAUUGUGAAUUGUGCUGUGAUAAAUAUACACUGUUUUUGUAAGUAUAAAUUUUUGCAGCUAUUUACAGUACAAUUUUGGCAGUGUCUAUUAGAGUGAAAAAUAAUGUCUCCUCUGACUCAGCAAUUCAUUUCUGUUUCUACCUUAAGGAUGCACUUGCAUGUGCCCUGUAUGAAAGUACAAGCAUGUUAACUGCAGCAGUGUUAGUUACAGGCAAAAUUGGAAAUGAACAUCAAAACUGGGAUAAGAGCACCAUGGUAAAUCUGGACUAUGUAGUACUUGCAAAAGAUGCAGAUAAGCCUACGUGUACCAAUGUGGAAAGGUCUGUGAAACAUAUUGUUCACUGCAAAAAAUAACAAUUCCAAAAAAAGAAGUAUAGAUAAAAAAAUUUGGGUAUAAAAUCAACCCACAUACAAAAUAUAGAUCUUUGUAUAGUUGCAUACCUCUCUACAUGUUUGUAUAUGUUUUACAUACGUAUCUAUCUCUAUCUAUCAUCUAUCUCUCUCUCUCUCUAUCUAUCUAUCUCUCUAUCAUCUAUCUAUCUAUCUAUCUAUCAAGAGAUUGAUUUCAAUUCAAAGUAAAGUAACAGUAUAUUUGGAUGCAGAGCAAACAUAAGAGUGGCCUCCUCUACAAAAGGGACUCAAGAUAGAAAUCUGAAAAGCACAGAAAACUACAAAGGUAAAAAUAAACAACUAUAUUCCUAUGGUACCUUCUUUUAGCAUUUUUCUCUAUAUCCUUCCAGCCAUUUUUCUAUAUAGGUAUAGGGCAAGUUGGAAGUCUUGAUCUGCAGCAAAGGACCUUAUUUUAGAGGCAAAAAAUAUAUUAGUGUUAGUGAAUAGAUGUAGAAGAAAUUGAAAUCUGUGAACUCUGAGAAUUCAGGGGACGAUGUACCGAUCACUGACACCUUGGGGAGAAACAGACAAUGGGGAGAUAAACUGUGAAAUGUGCCCAUUGCUGGAACUUGAAGAGUGGAUGAGGAGUUUGAUGGAAUGGUAUGGAGGGGCCAAAUGCCACUGAAUCACUCAGGCACCCUCCUCCCCCAGUCACCUUAAUCAUGCCCUGUUUAUACAAACAAUAGCACAAUGAGAAAAAUGUAGAUACAACUGGAGGAACCCACCCAGGAAAAGUGUUUGGUAGAGUUUUGCAGAAGAUAGGAUAAGAUCUAGAGGAGAAGAAUUGGAAUUAUAAAUACAGUGGUUAAUUCUAGGCUCUACAUGUGUGGGAAUUUGGGCCAAUUUUGCUUUUAUAUUUCCCAGGGGAAAAAUGUCUGUUUCAACUAUAUUUUCAAAUUUAUUAUUAUAAAGUUUUUCAUAGUGUUAAUAUCUUCUUGAAAUUUUCAAACAUCAUACUUAUCCACGUGUCAGGAUUUUUUGGUUUUUAAUGUUAUUUGUUUCUUAUCCUUCUUGAUCCUAUUUGCCUAGGGUUUAUCUGUUUUAUGAGUCAUUUCAAAGAACAAGUUUUGGUUUUGCUGAUUAACUCAUUUCUGGGGAGGGAAAAUGUUUUUCAUUAAUUACAGUUUCUAGCUUAUAUUUUGUUCUUUCGAAUUUCGUUGGGUUUAUUUUCUUCCAUUUCCCUGUCCACUAAUGGGAUUUUGGAUUUCCUCUUCUCUGCAUUGCCUGUACAUUGCCUGGAGGCAGCAACGCAUAUGGCUAAUAAAACAUAUUGAGGAUGAAUGAGAAAACAACCUGGUUCCUGGAAGGAGAGAAACAAGGUGGAGUCUUCUCACAGAAACAAGGAGAAGGUCAGAGAGACCUCCGGGAGCAUCUCAUCUUGGAGGUAGCUGUUUGCAUGAGGGCAGUGCUUGUCCUGAGAUGCUAGUUUCGCAGAGUGGUGUUCACAAGGGAAAUAAGCUAGGUCAUUACCGUCUACCCUUACACCAGGAAGAGGAAAACAUUUCAGGCUUAUAUACCAAGGCUUUCCUGCCCCUAAGCUGUCCAGAGUUGCCUUAGUAUUGAUUAUCUUAACUUAAUUAUUAUAAAGUUUGCUGGUAAUGCUUUUGUAUUAAGAGUAAAAGAUAACCUUGAGAGCUGCAAACAUGAGCCCAGCGAUCCAGGAGAUCAAGUUAAUAAUUCUGGAUAUCAAGAGAUCCACGAUUAGUCAAUUCCAACCUGUUUUCCUUUGAUGCCUUAAUCAAGGUUUAGUUAUAGUUAACCUACUUUCAAAAUGCUUACUUCCACCCUCCCUCCAAGAAUCACCCUGAGCAUUUCCUCCACUCUCUAAGUUUAGGAAUUUAGGACUUUCCCCCAAGAAAGGCACUGUAGAGAACAAACAUAUGACAUCUCAAAGACACUUCGCCAUUUCAAAUAGGAAAGAAAAAUUUGCAUCCAAACAGGCCAAAUAUUGCACUCACUGUUAAUGUAAUCAUUUUUCUGACUUUGAAUUCCUUUUCCCAAGUGACUAAACAACGUCUUUAUUCUAACCUUUCGGCACUAGGCAGUUUUUCUCCUGCUUUAGUUUCCUCUACAACCUCCGGAAGAGUUUUCCUCAGCCCUGUUACCUGUUUCGUCCAUCAUUCUGUUGCUCACUGGAUUGGUUUUUACAUUAGUGUGUUUUGACAGCACACAAUGGUUUCCUCAGUUACACAACAGACUCAGUGCCAAUAAACUUUUUUUUAGGUAAUGUAAAGCAUAUUUGAGCACAAGAAUGAUUGCAUUUUCAUGGCUAAAAAUAAACAGUUGUUUUUAAUUUUCCAUGAGAAUGCUGGCUCUUAGCACAAGGGGCCACCUUCUACCUGGUGAACUCUUUAUGCCAAAGUCAUCACUACGUGGCUAGAAAUGUGAAAUUCAAGUUUUCCUUAUGUAACAUAAAGGGAAAAGCCCAUAGGCAAAUCUCUCUUUAAUUCCAUCGUAUCACUGCUCAUGCACAGUGCUUUUAAAACAGACUAUAACAAACAUACCCUAACAGAGAAACAAGUCCUACCCUAGCUAAUUUACAUAAAAAGACUAUCUUUAUUUUUAUAGUAACAAAAAAAGCUAGGAUUAUCUCAUUUAAUCCUUAUACCAUCAUUAUGAAGUGGGUAAUGUUAUACUUACAAAAGGAAGUUAAUCAUUUCUUAUUUUCCACAGACACCACAAGCUCAAGAGGCUGCAUUAGCGUUUUUUAUUGGAGGCAUUUUCUUUUCCUCCAGAUUUUGUUUUUGACUGUUAAGGUCAUAGCUACAAACAAUUGAUCAAGCCUAAAAGGGCAUUUAUAAACCACCUGCAUCUACAUUUUUUUCUUACUGUGGAUGGAUUUAAAAAGCCGUUUCAAGAUGAAAUCUUAUGAGUCAUUAUCAUGUCUUCUGAGGGCUGAGAUAUAACUUUGAAGUAGAGCCCAAACAUGAAGAUCAUGAAGAUGGCUUCUUCUCCAAAUGAUGUUAUCUUAAAAACUUGAAAAAGACAAAAAAAAAAAAAAAAAAAAAGAAGAAGAAAAAGAAAAAAGAAAGAAAAAAAGAGAGAGCGAGCCAAGGGAACUUGAAUCAGACAAACCUGGUUCAAAGUGAUUAUUCAACAAAUGUAAGCUGUUAUCAUCUUGUCCUCCAUCAUUCAAAUAUGUCCUGUAUAGAUCUUCCAUUAAUUUCAAAUAUCUAAUGAUCUACACCAUCAAAUAUUAUGAAGGUGAUGUUUAGCAGGUCAUUGGCUAAGACAGGCUCUACCUCAGUCUCUAAUAGAGAAGGAAAGACAAGUAGCAUUUACUAACACCCACAGUAUGCUUCAUAUUGUUGCCAGAAAUUUCAAAUGCACCAUCUAUUGAUGCAUGGAAUCCUUUCAACAUUCUUAGAAGACAAGACCUCCACCCUCUGCAAAACAUCUUCCCAGGAUUAUGGGAAGUGCCCAAGAUGUGGUCACGGGUGUACCACAGCCAGUUGGCUUCUGUGGUACUCUGCCGCUGCGCCUGCCUCCACUUCUGUGGUUCAUCCCCAACUCCCAUGGAAGUUGGAGCACUUUCACGGAACCCUGCGGUUCUUUCCAACAUGCAGCAGCCACCAGCCACAGUCACCUGCAACCACAAAUCAGCAAAGCCCCACAGCCCCGAAUCUCCACUGAGGUUUGUAAUGAAGUGGGACUUCAAGUUUAAGUCUUUCUCCGAGGCUAUUACGGCCUGCCAGUAGGGGCUCUCCAUGUGCACUGCUCAAACCAUUAUGCUCUAUAACUGUUUUCAGUGUAAGGCUCUUUACGCUUUGUUAGUAAUCUCUUGCUCUCCGGAGCCCAGAGAGUGACAGAUUCGUAACAGACCCCUGUUCACUCCUCGUUGCCUCUCCCCUGUGCUGAGAGGGCUUCUCAUUGGCUCAGGUGCAUCCCCUGUGCUGCUUCUCCCCUCAGGAUGCCCUCUUCAUCUAGAGGUUUCUCCAGGGAACCUGCCUGGCUCACUCACCUAACAAGCUAAGAAAUGUCUGAACCGUCUUUAAAUUCAAGCCAGGAGCCUAGAAGUAGUCCUAGGGAAAACGAAACAAAACAAAACAAAACAAAACAAAACCAACAAACAAACAAACACGACUGGAAAGAAAUACAUGGAGAAGUUAACAGGAGGGCUCCUUGGAGAGAUGGUUAAUUCUGGGGCUGGCCUGGGAAGGAUGAGAUGAGGCUGAAGCACCUUGCUGUGCCGGAACAUCAGGACGUGCUCAAAAAGUGAUGAGGCCAGGGCCUGAUGGAAGAGGCUCCCAGCAACCAAACCUGCCAAGGUUUGAGCACCAAAAAAACAGCAACAGUGAUUCUAUAACCCAUGAGAAUAAAAGAAUCAGUCCAUGAUGACAUAGGUAAGUAAAUAAAGAGAAAUACAUAGAAAGCUUCUUUUUACAGUAGAAUUUCAACUAAUAAAUAUCCAAGAGAUGAUGGGGAAAAUGUUGAAGUGGUUUAUCACAUAGAUGAGACCAUGGAUUUUUUUUCUUUUUUCUGAUCACCCUUUCUAAUUAUUUUUAUUUUUUUGCAAUGAAUAAUUGCUUGUAUAAUAAAAAUGCAAAAAGUCACCUGCAGUAGAUCGCCUGUGAAGUUAUAUUCUUAUUGUAUCUCUCAUGAGCGACAUUUGUCUCCUACUUUUAUGCUAAUGAAUUUUUGAUAGGCCCUAUCUUGCAUUUCUUUUUCCUAUUUACGUAUUUUAGAAAGAGGACAGCACAGGUGCUUCCCAGCAGGGCCACCCUGCACAAAGGCACCCAGUAGGCUGCAGAGUGAGGCUGAAAGUUAACCCCUGAUCUUUGCGUUAAACUGUGACGACUGGUGCACGGUUGCAUCUGCCCAUAAGGCCACUGUUUCCUAACUCACACAUGAUUCUGUCCUAGCUGCUGUGUCCUUCAAAAUAGUCUGUGUGGGUUUACCUGGUUGCUGCUAGAAUUCUUCUUUUUGAUCUCAAGGUCAAAGCCUGGUGGCAUGAACAGCAUUACCUGUUCAGCCGUGCGUCACUAAAGGUGUGAGGAGGUUGAGAUCAAGAGCAGUCUAGUUAGGAAGUGUCAUCUCUUCAAGUUUCCUCCCCUGAGUUUGUUGAACUUGCAGGGCAUGAGGUCACCUUCCUCAUCUGAUUUUCCCAUUCUCUAUUCCAAAUACAUGGCAUGGCUGUGGCCAGAUUCUUGCCACUCUAGGAGGUGAGUGGAAGGAUGUCCAGUUGCUUUAGGAAACUGUUCUUCCAUCACUGAGAAGCCAGGCCAGCUCACAAUUUAUGUUUCAUGAGGAUUACUUGUUCUUUCAGAAGUCACUGACAAAUGUUGGUCCCUACUGGCAAUGAGGUAGCUCUGCAUCUUUUCUCAGAACCACUCUGACAGGUAACUCUUGCCUCUCUCUAAUUCAGAGAUGUUGGUGAAAUACUCCUCUGCUCCGUUUACUCUGCAUCACUUUCUAGGAAAGAAAAGUGAUGAGUCAGCUCUUGACACUGUGCCUUCAGUGUGAUCCCCCUACAUUCUAGAAAACAGCAAUGCCUCAAAGCUGAUUCUCAACGCUGCUACAGGCUUUUUCUCUAUUUGGGGUUUCUAUUGAUUCUUUCCGUCAUUAUCUUUCCUAAAAGGGCAGCGUAUAAAGGGGAAUAGUUGCACAAAGGGGUAUUUUAAGAAUAAUUCGCCUUUAGGUGUGUGCUUCCAGAAGACACUGGUGGAGAAACUACUUCUGUGGGAGAAAAAGUACAGUGGCCUCUAGGGUGAGAACUCAAGGUGUCAGCAGCACCUACAUAAAGCAAGACACCAGCCAUGUGCCACCACACUGCCACCAGGAGACAGGUCCUGCUUGUGUUGAUCCCUGGUGACAUGACCAGAACCAAAACAAACGAACAAACAAACAAACAAACAACCUUAAAGUAGGUAAAGAUCUUGAAGGUGGCAAAAUGAUGCCAAUCCAAGAAGAAACCAAUUCCUAAUGUGAAAUGGAUACACUGACCCUGCCAACCAAGGGCAUUGUCUUUCCCAGUUUGAACAAAACCACAAUCCAUUAACUCCAGUAUUGAUGAUUUUCUUCUAUUCUAGGCCCUGAGCUCUUUUUGGGUCAACUGCAGCUGCAACUCUAGAGCGACAAUAAGGAUGUGUUUGAGGUGCUGAGGGAGGAGGAGGAUGGAGUGAGAAGGUGACAACAUUCAGCCAGGUGCCCCCAAAACAUGGAGGCAAGAGAAAGAGAAUUUGUCCAAGUGCAAGGUCUGCAGGCAGUGCAGGGCAGCUACCAGCAGGGCCCAUUUUUAUGGGAUUGUGAAAGGUGAUUCUGGAAAGGCAGGCAGCAGCUACAACAUGAAAGAUCUUUGGACUGUGUCUGUAUAUGAUAAGAAGUCAAAGAAGUAUCUUUAAAACAAGAGGAGCAAAGAGAGCUCAUCCUGGUAACAGAUGGAGGGUUAGGCUUGCCUAAGUUUACAGAAGUAGGUAAUGACAGGGCUAAGAGAGAACUCAGCUCAUUUUAAUUCCAUAUUGCUUAUCUUUCUCUUGUGCUUUGCAGUGUGUGUGUGUAUGUGUGUGUGUGCGUGUGUGUAGGGAGGAGGGGUGAGAUUGGCAAAAGUUGAGCCAGAUUAUACUGAUUAAUUAGUUCAACACCCAUUUUGCUGAGAGCAUACCGUGCCCACAGUGCUGAGUUGAGCAAACUUAAGAGGUGAUAUGAAAGGAGCAAAAGUGCUUAAAAAUCUGGGAAAGGGUAUCCAUCCCUGGUGCAUUGGUUUUGAUUAUUCCUCAGCUAUAUAAACAUCCAAAGAGAUGACCUCAUAUAUUCCACAGGCAUGACCGAAGAUUAUGGCACAGAUGUUCUGAAAUAAACAAUGUUAGUGCAAGCACAUAGCUGCACAGUCCUGUAAUGGUCCCGAGAAGAGCUUAGACCAUUUUUUUAAAAAACAUAAACCACAAGUUAAGGCUAAAUCAGAAAGAAAAUAGAAACCUUUCUUCAUCUGCUCUGUUCUUGGUUUCAUGUUUUAUAGAUGGCCUGGGAAGCCCUCUGCACGCCUUUCUCAACUAAGGAAUUUGUGGAAGUAGAAUUUCUUCUGUUGACAGAAUUCUGCUGAGAACUGAAUUUUCUGCUGUUUUCAUUACUCUUUUCUAAAUGUUUCACAGUUCUGUUUUUUUUACAGCCAGAUUUCCAUUUGAUACUGGUUGUGGUUACACUAAAAGUAACAUCUAUGGCCAAAUGGCUGGAAAUUUUACAUUUUUGACACCGAGAUUUUUCCUGUACUUCACGGAGGGCAAGGGUUAUACCCUAUUUUUUCCCAGUCUCCCACAGUGCCCAACCCAGACGACCGUACAUAAUAAGCGCUUUAUUCUCAGCACUGCUGUAUGCCUCAUUGGAACAGGAUGCCCAAGGUGAUGGCUGCAGAAAUGGAUGGAUUGGAGCGUGACUUGCCAAGACAGGUAUGUAGAAAUUAUUGUGGAGUGACGUGGCAUGAUCUCAGCUUACUGCAGCCUCAACCUCCCGGGCACAGGUGAUUCUCCAACCUCAGCCUUGGAGUAGC
rnacentral:lncRNA from 1 species